rnacentral:tRNA from 1 species
GCUCCGGUAGCUCAAUCGGCAGAGCAGCAGGCUUAUACCCUGCAAGCACCAGAUUAGUGCGUGAUCCGAGUUCGAGUCUCGGCCGGAGCA